rnacentral:piRNA from 1 species
AUGGGCUGGUAGUACCUCUGUUAUGC